rfam:Strongylocentrotus purpuratus Contig41447_fixed, whole genome shotgun sequence.
GAGCUAUGAUGAAUUUUAUUCCUAUCAUUCGCAGUUUCCACCAUAAAGACUUUUUAGUCUUAAUGAUGGCUGAAGAUCCUUCCUUGGAUGUCUGAGCUC